CGUCUAUAUACGUAUAGCAUAUCAAUAAGCGGAGGAAAAGAAACUAACAAGGAUUCCCUUAGUAACGGCGAGUGAAGCGGGAAGAGCUCAAAUUUGAAAUCUCAAGGUUCUACCUUGACGAAUUGUAGUUUAAAGAAGUGUUUUCUGUUAGAGGAGUAGCAAAAGUCCUUGGAAUGGGACAUCAUAGAGGGUGAGAAUCCCGUAUUUGGUUAUUCUUUCUAGCUUUGUGAUACACUUUCAAAGAGUCGGAUUGUUUGGGAAUGCAGUCCAAAAUGGGUGGUAAAUUUCAUCUAAAGCUAAAUAUUGGCGAGAGACCGAUAGCGAACAAGUACCGUGAGGGAAAGAUGAAAAGAACUUUGAAAAGAGAGUUAAACAGUACGUGAAAUUGUCAAAAGGGAAGCGUUUGACACCAGUGUUGUUUUCCGAAAAUCAAUUAAGAGUGGCUUGAUUUUGUGUUGUAUUGACCCUUAUCAGCUUUCUUCACUCUUUUUCGAGUCUUUCUUAAUGCACUUUUCGGUUAACAAGUCAACAUCAAUUUCUUUUGUUGUAAAAGGGUAUUUGGAAGGUGGCUUUCUUUUCGGAGAAAGUGUUUAUAGCCUUAUACCUCUACAAUCGGAGAGAUUGAGGUCUGCAGCGUAGAUCCUUCGGGGCUAGAUACACUUGUGCUAAGUUAUAGCUUUUCAUAGACAACUUGUUGACUAUGUUUAGUCAUGUAGCUUACCCGCUUGUGCUAUUUUACCUACGCUUAGGAUGUUGAGUCAUCACACAUCUCU
rnacentral:rRNA from 1 species